rnacentral:tRNA from 1 species
GUUUUAAUAAUUUAUAUAAAAAUAUUGAUUUUGUAAAUCAAACUAAAGAUCUUCUUUUAAAACU